GUCCCCUUAGUUCAGCUGGAUAGAACACGAGCCUCCUAAGCCUGAGACACAGGUUCGAAUCCUGUAGGGGACACCA
rnacentral:tRNA from 1 species